GGAAGAAAACGAGAAGGGACGGACAAACACAAACUUCCACAAACUUGUGGAAGUUUGUGUUUGUCCGUCCCUUCUCGUUUUCUUCC
rnacentral:pre_miRNA from 1 species